rnacentral:ncRNA from 1 species
UCAUGGCAAAACCGUCGAAAGGCGGCGGCGCAAAGCUACAGGGCCUAAACCCGAUUCCGGCUCAACGCCGGGCCGGGCAUUGGCAGCCAGCUACCA